AGGAUAAACGCUGGCGGCGUGCCUAACACAUGCAAGUCGAACGUCCUACGCAAGUAGGGAGUGGCGGACGGGUGAGUAACACGUGGGCAAUCUACCUUUCGGUGAGGAAUACCGGCGAGAAAUCGCCGACAAUACCGCAUACGCUUCGCAAGAAGCAAAGUCGCAAGACGCCGGAGGAGGAGCCUGCGCCCCGAUUAGCUGGUUGGUGGAGUAAUGGUCUACCAAGGCGACGAUCGGUAGC
rnacentral:rRNA from 1 species